GAUGAACGCUGGCGGCGUGCUUAACACAUGCAAGUCGAACGGAAAGGCUCCUGCUUGCUGGGGUACUCGAGUGGCGAACGGGUGAGUAACACGUGGGUGAUCUGCCCUGCACUUCGGGAUAAGCUUGGGAAACUGGGUCUAAUACCGGAUAGGACCGCAUUUUGGAUGGUGUGGUGGAAAGUUUUUUCGGUGUGGGAUGAGCUCGCGGCCUAUCAGCUUGUUGGUGGGGUAAUGGCCUACCAAGGCGUCGACGGGUAGCCGGCCUGAGAGGGUGUACGGCCACAUUGGGACUGAGAUACGGCCCAGACUCCUACGGGAGGCAGCAGUGGGGAAUAUUGCACAAUGGGCGCAAGCCUGAUGCAGCGACGCCGCGUGGGGGAUGACGGCCUUCGGGUUGUAAACUCCUUUCGCUAGGGACGAAGAGUAAUUGACGGUACCUGGAGAAGAAGCACCGGCUAACUACGUG
rnacentral:rRNA from 1 species